CCUACGGUGUGCUGCAGUGGGGAAUAUUGGACAAUGGGCGAAAGCCUGAUCCAGCCAUGCCGCGUGUGUGAAGAAGGCCUUCGGGUUGUAAAGCACUUUCAGUGGGGAAGAAAGCCUUGGGGCUAAUACCCUCGAGGAAGGACAUCACCCACAGAAGAAGCACCGGCUAACUCCGUGCCAGCAGCCGCGGUAAUACGGAGGGUGCGAGCGUUAAUCGGAAUUACUGGGCGUAAAGCGCGCGUAGGCGGUCUGAUAAGCCGGUUGUGAAAGCCCCGGGCUCAACCUGGGAACGGCAUCCGGAACUGUCAGGCUAGAGUGCAGGAGAGGAAGGUAGAAUCCCCGGUGUAGCGGUGAAAUGCGUAGAGAUCGGGAGGAAUACCAGUGGCGAAGGCGGCCUUCUGGACUGACACUGACGCUGAGGUGCGAAAGCGUGGGUAGCAAACAGGAUUAGAUACCCCAGUAGUC
rnacentral:rRNA from 1 species